GUCUUUCAGGCAGUGCAGGUCAGCCUGGAGCCUGGAGAUCCCUGUGUAGAACACAGACUCCCUCUUAGAAACCACAGACACGUUUGUGAAGCAGCUCAGUAGCUUUCUUACAGCGUCUUUGAAAGUGACUGGGGCCUUCUGAUCCACAUGAACACAGUAGAUGUUUUGGGGAGUGUAGAUGGCCCUGAAGAGUCUUUCAAAUGUAUCAGUCUUUGCGGAUGACCAUGACAUAGGCCAAAGGAACUCGGCUUCGUCUUUGGACAGAGGUUCCAUUAUGUGGUGAUUUCGGAUCAAGCAUUGCUGGCAAGUUAUAUUUCUCAAUGGCGUCACUGGUAUAUUUUCAUCCAAGAACAUUUUCUUGCCUGUCACAAUCAUGCCACACACUUCUGCAAGGACUGCAGAGUUUGAGAUUUUCCCCCAUGGAAGAUAUUUUUGUGGGACCUAAUAGUUGGUAUACAGGAAUAAAAGAGUUACGGACAUGGCCAUAAGCCCUAGGACCAACCCAAAUGCCUCUAUUUUUCCUAUGGUCUUUUCUCGAUUCAUCACUCACCUGAUUUUAUGCCAUUGCUAAAGUCAGUCCGCAGGUCCCUGCUCAGACUUGAGAAAUCUGCUCUAGCAACUUAUUUUCAGCAAGAAGGGCAAUAUGACCAUUUACUUAAAAGGAGGAGGAUCAACCACAAGUCGGUAGCUCUUCUAUUUAAAAAAUCAGGUGACCCUUUGAACAUGAGCCAGUGGGGCCAGCUGACCACUUCACAAAAGCCAGGCACAGUUGGGCACCUGUCUAGGUCAACCACAAAUUAAGACCCUAGCAAAUCGGCCACAGCUGCCAGCUCAGGGUGUUUUUCCCAUGUGGAGUGCAGGUGGAAUGUGUGUUCAUUUGGCACCUCUUUUUCCCAUACAGAGCCACCAUCAGCAUCACUGAUGUCACCUUUGAAUGCAAGGGACACUAUAUUUCUUCAACUUCAGGCUAUCACAGUUGGCCUGAGGUAGGCCACCAUUUACGUGGACAGCACCCAGAACUCCUCAAUAAUGGGGUCUCUUUACCUGAAAAUAAAGAUCAAGAAUUUAUAGUAUUUCAGGAUUAGAAGGAAUCUUGCAGAUUAUUCCCACCAAUUGAUUCAGUUACAAAUAACGAACACUGACAAUGACCCGUAACGACUGUUCUAUCACACUUUGUCUCCGUUUUCCCACAGAUGGCCUGAGAGGGCCUAUGGCUGCUUUCACGUUACAAUGGCAGGGUUGAGUUGUUGCCACAUCUGGCCACCGAAGCUUAAAAUCUUUUCCAUCUGGCCUUUACCAGAAAAGGUUUGCUGACCCUCUCCUCUGUAUCUACGGAUGUCCCUUGUAUACCAUUGUGUUUGCACUACAUCAAGACAGCGAUUGUGGACUUGAUACCAUUUUACAACUUUUUGCUUUAUUUUCAAGAUUUUCUUGUGAAUGCCAGAAUGAAACGAUAUUUGGUAGC
rnacentral:antisense_RNA from 1 species